rnacentral:rRNA from 1 species
CCAAUAGCGUAUAUUAAAGUUGUUGCAGUUAAAAAGCUCGUAGUUGAAUUUCGGGAUCAUCAGGUUGGUCGUGCUUCUGGUAUGUACUUUCCUCGAUGGUUCCUCCUUCUUGAAGAACCGUAAUGCCAUUAAUUUGGUGUUGCGGGGAAUCAGGACUGUUACUUUGAAAAAAUUAGAGUGUUUAAAGCAGGCAAUCGCUUGAAUACAUUAGCAUGGAAUAAUGAAAUAGGACGUUCGAUCCUAUUUUGUUGGUUUCUAGGAUUGACGUAAUGAUUAAUAGGGAUAGUUGGGGGCAUUAGUAUUCAAUUGUCAGAGGUGAAAUUCUUGGAUUUAUUGAAGACUAACUACUGCGAAAGCAUUUGCCAAGGAUGUUUUCAUUAAUCAAGAACGAAAGUUAGGGGAUCGAAGACGAUCAGAUACCGUCGUAGUCUUAACCAUAAACUAUGCCGACUAGGGAUCGGAUGAUGUUAAUUUUUUAAUGACUCAUUCGGCGCCUUACG